rnacentral:rRNA from 1 species
GACAGAGGGGGCAAGCGUUGCUCGGAAUUACUGGGCGUAAAGCGCGUGUAGGCGGCCCGGAAAGUCGGAUGUGAAAGCCCUGGGCUUAACCCAGGAAGUGCAUUCGAAACUCCCGGGCUUGAGUUCUGGAGAGGAAGGCGGAAUUCUCGGUGUAGAGGUGAAAUUCGUAGAUAUCGAGAGGAACACCGGUGGCGAAGGCGGCCUUCUGGACAGUGACUGACGCUGAGACGCGAAAGCGUGGGGAGCAAACAGG